GGCGGCCGGGUACAGGAAACGGAGGUUCCUGUCCCGCGUUCCGCGCCGCCCGGCCACGCUACAUUGAGAGACCGGCGGGAGGGAGCGCACUGCGCUUCCCUCCUGCCGGUCACUCAAAUCCGGCCGCCCUCCACAGCAGUGCUGCUCCGCCUGAGGCUUGUAAAAGCGCUCAGGCGGCGAGGCAUGAGGAGCCGCCGGGCCAGGGAUCCAGCGCCCCCUGUUAAGGUGCGCCCUAGGCGGCUGCCUCGGUCGCCUUACAGGUAGCGCCGGCCCUGGUGGUAACGGACUUUCACCAAAAUAUAUUGACCUUUUACAAUGAGCGCUAUUAGAGGCAGAAAUUACUGGGACACUUAACACCUCCAGAUCAUCCUUGGUAAAUGUCCAGCUUGCCCAUACCUUACAUGCCCAUAAGAAAGACAAAGUUUAGAUCCCCCUGUAGAACGCUGUCCGGUGAUUAGUGUAGGCUCAGGCUUGUUAAAGCUUGUACAAGCAGAUGUGGCAACAAUUUAGUUAGAUCAUACAUAUUGUACAGUAGACGAGCAAAUCACCUACAUCAGUUAUAAUUAAUAUUACGUACCAGUCCAAUAAAUAAUAAUGUAAUAACUACCAAAAUAACUGUAAAACACAGGGAUAUUUACUAAAGUGAGAAUUGUCAGGAAUUCAAAGAGAAUUUUAAAGUUUAGCCCCAACUUUUGCCUAAAGUUCUACUACUAAACAUUUUAUCAUGUAAUAAAUACAAAUACCGGUACCACUUUUUGAAGACAUACGAAACUUAAAGCAAUCAAGUAUUUUUACUUUUAUUUUCCAUGUUGAUCUUGCAGUCUUAACACUACAUGUUUCACGUGUAAAAAAAUUGCUACUGUAGUUUAAUUUUUUAACCCUUUAAAUGCUGAAUACAAUUAAUGACUACUUGAUGUCUUCCUGAAAAUCAAUGCACAAUUUUAUUUUUUUUGCCCUGUCUUUUUUCACCAGCGCUGAAUUGUUCUCUCAUCGGCAAGGUCUUCUAAUGCGGUGGAUAACAUUGGUACUUUAAUUUUUAAAGAUUAAAAUAAAAAAAUAAAACGACUAAUGACUAUUUUAGAAGUUUUCGAUGCUUUAAAGAAAAGCUUUGUACUGGAUUAGAAUUGUAAUUUUAUGGAUAAAUAUAAACAGUUUUCCUUUCACCUGGCAAUAUACAAUUAUUGUAAAUAAAAUGAAUUUAAACAUUUAAAUAGUGAAUUAUGGUAUUUCAGCUGAUUAUUUGUAUGUUUGUGAUUUACAGUUGCGAUGUACGGUUGUCUUUUUUGGGGGGAAAGGGGUAAGCUGGGUGAUCACUCAUCAAAAUAGCG